rnacentral:rRNA from 1 species
GACGAACGCUGGCGGCGUGCUUAACACAUGCAAGUCGAACGGAAAGGCCUCGUUCGGGGGGUAUUCUCGUGGGGCGCAGGUGAGAAUAACGCGAGUAUCAUGUGCCUGACACUGGGGUAAAUUUUGGGAAAAGUGGCUCAUAUCGGGUAUGAGCUCCUGCUGUACGUUGGGGGGUGGGAAGAUUCGGCGGUUGGGGAUGGGGUCGCGGGUUAUCAGCUUGUUGGUGGGGUAGUGGCUUACCAAGGCUUUGACGGGUAGCCGGCCUGAGAGGGGGACCGGCCACAUUGGGACUGAGAUACGGCCCAGACUCCUACGGGAGGCAGCAGUGGGGAAUAUUGCACAAUGGGCGGAAGCCUGAUGCAGCAACGCCGCGUGCGGGAUGACGGCCUUCGGGUUGUAAACCGCUUUCGCCUGUGACGAAGCGUGAGUGACGGUAAUGGGUAAAGAAGCACCGGCUAACUACGUG